rnacentral:sRNA from 1 species
CCCUAGCCCAGAUGGAAACGGCAUCCUUUUAUGCCAGGGUUUGGCAUGAAAGAUACAGUGGACAGCUGGAAUAGCU